rnacentral:rRNA from 1 species
GAUGAACGCUAGCUACAGGCUUAACACAUGCAAGUCGAGGGGAAACGGCAUCGAAAGCUUGCUUUUGAUGGGCGUCGACCGGCGCACGGGUGAGUAACGCGUAUCCAACCUGCCCAUCACUUGGGAAUAACCUUGCGAAAGUAAGACUAAUGCCCAAUGACAUCCCACGAAGGCAUCCGAAUGGGAUUAAAGAUUUAUCGGUGAUGGAUGGGGAUGCGUCUGAUUAGCUUGUUGGCGGGGUGACGGCCCACCAAGGCAACGAUCAGUAGGGGUUCUGAGAGGAAGGUCCCCCACAUUGGAACUGAGACACGGUCCAAACUCCUACGGGAGGUAGCAGUGAGGAAUAUUGGUCAAUGGGCGAGAGCCUGAACCAGCCAAGUAGCGUGCAGGAUGACGGCCCUAUGGGUUGUAAACUGCUUUUAUAAGGGAAUAAAGUGGGUCACGUGUGACUUUUUGCAUGUACCUUAUGAAUAAGGACCGGCUAAUUCCGUG